CAAUAGCGUAUAUUAAAGUUGUUGCAGUUAAAAAGCUCGUAGUUGGAUUUCUGGUGGGAGCGACCGGUCCGCCUCGCAAGGGGUGUGCACUGAUGUUGUCUCCGGCCAUCCUUGCAGAAGACGGCCCUGGCAUUAGGUUGUCGGGGUCGGGUUCUGCAUCGUUUACUGUGAAAAAAUUAGAGUGUUUAAAGCAGGCUUACGCCGUUGAAUACAUUAGCAUGGAAUAAUAAGAUAGGACUUUGGUGGUCUAUUUUGUUGGUUUGCACGCCAAGGUAAUGAUUAAUAGGGAUAGUUGGGGGUAUUCAUAUUUAAUUGUCAGAGGUGAAAUUCUUGGAUUUAUGAAAGAUGAACUACUGCGAAAGCAUUUACCAAGGAUGUUUC
rnacentral:rRNA from 1 species